rnacentral:lncRNA from 1 species
AUGAAGAAACUGAGGCUCAGAAUGGCAUAUUAACGCGUGCAGCUCUAGACAGCAAGGAAGUGAUGGCAACUCUAUCCGAACUCAAAUCUGCCAGACCUAUACCAGUAGGUGCCUGUGUGCAGUUGGGGACCCACCUCUGCCAGUGCUGGCAUGAGCUAGCCGUCUUGAACUGAAAACAGACACUCAAAGAUGGGCUGUGGGAUCCCAGAGAGGUGGCAGAGUGGUCAAAGCUAUGAAGCCAACAGCUGCUGCCAAGAAGAAAGUCCUGAGCCCUGAGUGAUUGUAACUAAAAAAAAUUAAUGCUGGGAGUGGGUGCUUAUUUUGGAGGAGUGGGCUGCUUAUUUUUGGUUUGGGGACUUGUUCAUUCAUCUUUUCUCAGCAGCGCCUACUGCUGCCCUGGCCCGAAGUUAAAGCUCAAUAAAUCACUGUUGCACAACUGA